GCACGUAGUUAGCCGUGGCUUUCUGGUUAGGUACCGUCAAGGUACCGGCAGUUACUCCGGUACUUGUUCUUCCCUAACAACAGAGCUUUACGACCCGAAGGCCUUCAUCGCUCACGCGGCGUUGCUCCAUCAGACUUUCGUCCAUUGUGGAAGAUUCCCUACUGCUGCCUCCCGUAGGAGUCUGGGCCGUGUCUCAGUCCCAGUGUGGCCGAUCACCCUCUCAGGUCGGCUACGCAUCGUCGCCUUGGUGAGCCGUUACCUCACCAACUAGCUAAUGCGCCGCGGGCCCAUCUGUAAGUGUCAGCCGAAACCGACUUUCAGCUUUUCCUCAUGAGAGGAAAAGGAUUAUCCGGUAUUAGCACCGGUUUCCCGGUGUUAUCCCAGUCUUACAGGCAGGUUGCCCACGUGUUACUCACCCGUCCGCCGCUAGACUCCGAAGAGUCUCGCUCGACUUGCAUGUAUUAGGCACGCCGCCAGCGUUCGUC
rnacentral:rRNA from 1 species